rnacentral:rRNA from 1 species
GGUUCNGGCACUUACCCUUUGUGACAUACCUAACCGUUGCUUCGGCGGGCAGGGGAAGCCUCUCGCGGGCCUCCCCUCCCGGCGCCGGCCCCCAACACGGGGACGGGGCGCCCGCCGGAGGAAACCAAACUCUAUUUACACGACGUCUCUUCUGAGUGGCACAAGCAAAUAAUUAAAACUUUUAACAACGGAUCUCUUGGUUCUGGCAUCGAUGAAGAACGCAGCGAAAUGCGAUAAGUAAUGUGAAUUGCAGAAUUCAGUGAAUCAUCGAAUCUUUGAACGCACAUUGCGCUCGCCAGCAUUCUGGCGAGCAUGCCUGUUCGAGCGUCAUUUCAACCCUCAAGCACCGCUUGGUUUUGGGGCCCCACGGCACACGUGGGCCCUUAAAGGUAGUGGCGGACCCUCCCGGAGCCUCCUUUGCGUAGUAACUAACGUCUCGCACUGGGAUUCGGAGGGACUCUUGCCGUAAAACCCCCAAAUUUUUUUACAGGUUGACCUCGGAUCAGGUAGGAAUACCCGCUGAACUUAAGCAUAUCAAUAAGCGGAGGAA